AGCAGCCGCGGUAAUUCCAGCUCCAGUAGCGUAUAUUAAAGUUGCUGCAGUUAAAAAGCUCGUAGUUGAAUUUCGGGACCAAUAUGUCGGUCGUGCCUCGGUACGUACUGGCAUUAUUGGUUCCUACCUUCUGAAGAACCUCGAUGUCAUUAAUUUGGUGUCUUGGGGAAUCAGGACUGUUACUUUGAAAAAAUUAGAGUGUUUAAAGCAGGCUCGCGCUUGAAUACAUUAGCAUGGAAUAAUGAAAUAGGACGUUUGAUUCUAUUUUGUUGGUUUCUAGGAUCGACGUAAUGAUUAAUAGGGAUAGUUGGGGGCAUUAGUAUUCAAUUGUCAGAGGUGAAAUUCUUGGAUUUAUUGAAGACUAACUACUGCGAAAGCAUUUGCCAAGGAUGUUUUCAUUAAUCAAGAACGAAAGUUAGGGGAUCGAAGACGAUCAGAUACCGUCGUAGU
rnacentral:rRNA from 1 species